UGGCCUGAGCUGAAAUCAGGAUUCAGCCGGGAGAAGUGGACACCUGUGUCCAUACAAUAAAUGACACAUGCAUGUUCGUAGCAACUUGACUUAUAGUGGAUGAAAGGUAGAAACAGUGUCUGUCAGCUGACGCGUAGAUAUGCAAAAUACAUGAAUAAAGUAUUUCAUACAGUGGAAUAUUUUUGGCAACCAAAAGGCAGGAAGUACUGAUACAUGGGACAUCACGGACCAACCCGGAAACACCGUUAUAGGGGAGGGCAGCCAGUCACCAAAGGCCACAUACUGCAAGUCCAUUCCUGUGCAGUGUUUGGAAUGGGCAGAUCUGUAGAGACAAGCUGUGUUAGUGGUGGUCUUAGGGCCGGAGGGGAUGGGGGUUACUCCCAAAGCGUGGGGGGUUCUUUAUGAGAUGAUGAACAUGUUUGAAAAUUGAUUAUGGUGAAGGUUGCCCAGUUUUGUGAGUUCGUUUGUACCUGUUAAAUGGGUGAAUUAUAUGUAAAUUAUAUAUCAAGAGAGUUGUU